rnacentral:rRNA from 1 species
GUACAGCGGCGCACGGGUGAGUAACGCGUGGGUAACCUACCUCUGGGUUUGGGAUAACUCGGGGAAACCUGAGCUAAUACCGAGUAAGCCCACGAGUUCUUCGGAACACGUGGGAAAAGGUGGCCUCUUCAUGAAAGCUAUCGCCCGGAGAUGAGCCCGCGUCCCAUUAGUUUGUUGGUGAGGUAACGGCUCACCAAGGCUCCGAUGGGUAGCUGGUCUGAGAGGACGAUCAGCCACACUGGAACUGAGACACGGUCCAGACUCCUACGGGAGGCAGCAGUCGGGAAUUUUGGGCAAUGGGCGCAAGCCUGACCCAGCAACGCCGCGUGUGGGAUGAAGGCCUUCGGGUCGUAAACCACUGUCAGGAGGGAAGAACGGCUUCGGAGCGAACAACUCCGAGGAGUGACGGUACCUCCAAAGGAAGCGCCGGCUAACUCCGUGCCAGCAGCCGCGGUAAUACGGAGGGCGCGAGCGUUGUUCGGAAUCACUGGGCGUAAAGCGCGUGUAGGCGGUCUCGUAAGUCGGAUGUGAAAGCCCGAGGCUCAACCUCGGAGGUGCAUCCGAAACUGCGGGGCUAGAGUCCCGGAGAGGGUGGCGGAAUUCCCGGUGUAGGGGUGAAAUCCGUAGAUAUCGGGAGGAACACCAGUGGCGAAGGCGGCCACCUGGACGGUGACUGACGCUGAGACGCGAAAGCGUGGGGAGCAAACAGGAUUAGAUACCCUGGUAGUCCACGCCGUAAACGGUGGGUGCUAGGCG